rnacentral:lncRNA from 10 species
CUCCUGAUGCUCACUAUGCUGCACUACCUCAUUUCCUUUGUCAGAAAUGAAACUAUUAUGUACAGUUCUGGGUAUACCACUUGAGGGUUUCAUAUGGGAGCAUGUUAUUGUAAGAAUAUUAAGACAAUUAUCAACUUUCCAGUUUUCUAUGGAUAUGAAGAUUUACUCCUAGUCAUCAGUGGGACCCCCAUGAAGUCAGCCAGAAAGCCUAUAUCCAACUUAUGUACCUUUGCAAACUUGUCUGGAUUUUGACUGUAUGUGCAAAACAGAUUGUACUUAGCGAUUCAUUAAACAUCUUUUGAUCAUCUGCUGUCUGCCAGGCACUGUGCUAGGCAUCUGAAAAACAAAGAUGGUCCCUGC